CGUUUUUGUAGUAGUGAUGGUAUAUUUUUUUCAGCGCCUCCCUUUCCGCAUGAGGCAAUUUUUAUACAUUUUUUUAGGUGGCAUCCUAGAUGAUUUGACGACGAAACCCCCAAAAAGGAUGCUCCAUCUGCUGAAGAUAAUGAAGAGCUUGCCCCACUGAUAAGAUGACUUAAGAGGAUGCAACCAGGGGACCAACAACAGCUGGCAAACAAACCAUUGGAGGGGUUGAGAAAGGUGGAGCACAGGGGAAUGGUGCAUUUGAAGAUCAACCAGCAUCUUUACCAGCAGAUCAGAUCCAAGCAUGGCAGAAAUUAGGCAAUGCUGACCUCAGACGGGCAAGGCUUAUGCUGCUGGAUAAAGUGCAAAACCCAGCAGUUCAAGACAAGAACAUUUGCAACACAAAUUAACACUUGUAGCAGCAUGUAUAAAAUGCAAUGGGACAAGGCUGCAGUUUUGAGUGGAAGUAAUGCAGCUAAUUCAUUGGCCAAGUGGAGUUCUUGGAAUACGCCACCCGAAUUUGAUAUUAUGAAGUCAAUCGAAGAGCCCACGCUGGCCAUCAGUGAAAGUUACAACUGAAACACCUCCAAAACAAAUGGCUGACAACCCUAAAUAUGGUUGACACAUCAUCAGGAUCCCAGGUUAUCAGCAGGGGAGAUCAAGUACAAAGCAUUAAGAAAAUAUGAUGUGCAUUAUGAACCAGCUCAAGUAAAUAAGUACGUAUGUAGUGAGAGCAAGUAUAUUUCUUGCAUUCAUUUGUCUAAAUAUGUACUUCAUUAGGCAAUUGUUAUUUUAGAUUAGGCAAAUUAUACAAUUGUUUUAGCCAAUAAUAUGGUUCUGAAUAAUGCUAUUCUUUUCAUGUUUCUAAUUCUUGUUUCGGCCACACAAUACUGUUUAGGAUCUGAAACCUGAUGCGCCUAUUUUUAUGCAUGCAAGUUUCCACAGUGAAUCAUCACUCUAACAUGCUCUUUGGCUAUAAGGCUAUUUUUAUGCAUUUAAUCAUCACUCUAACGUGCCUCGUCGUCAUGCUACAACUCUGCAUCGGUCACCGCUGCCUCAUCUUCUAGCUCCUCCACGCCGACCGCGUCCCCCGCACGCUGGCAGAGUUCCUCGGCUACCGCGGCGUCCGCUUCGUCGGCGUCGGCAUGGGGGCAGACGCCGAGCGGCUUAGCGGCAACGACGAGCGCCGAGGUGCGGGUGGCCAUGCUGCUGCACAGCAGGGACAGUCCAGGCAGGGGAGAAGGUGGUGCCGCCUGUCGUCGACAACAAGCUCGUCUUCGAGAUGCUCGAGGCCGCCGUUGGUCUUGCUGCCAUCCUGUGGUGUGAGUGAUGCAUCCGGAUAUAUAGCUCUCAGCUUCACAUCCUCUAAUUUAUUCCGUAACUGCUAAUAUAAGUAGCUUGUUUGAGCAGUUUAGUGUUUUUUAAUCAAGAUUAGCAAGUUAGAUCAGUGUGCUUUUGAGCAUGUCAUUUAACCCUGCAGUUGCUCUGCAAUUGAUUAGCAUCCAGGUCAGUCCAGGCCUUCUAGGGUCCUUGUAAAUUUAAUCCGUUUAUGUUUCGUAUCGCAGCUUGUUCCAUGGCUCAGUUGCAACUUGUCUAUCUGCUCUUAUAAUUUAGUGGAGUUUUGCUUGA